AGUUGACUCCUAGAGGAAAGCAGUCUGAAAGGCAGAGAACCAAUCUCGGAGAUCCUGUGAACGAGUCGACUCCAAGUGUUUCAGAGUCGACCUCCGAGUCAGCCGAGUCGACUCCAACAAGGCCUGAGUCGACUUCGAGGCAGAUCAGUUCAAAAGACAGAGAAUCGAUUUUUCGGCCUCUGAGAACGAGACGUCUUCCGAAGAUCACGAGUCGCCUCUUAAGACAGCCGAGUCGACUCGAGGAAGA
rnacentral:lncRNA from 1 species